UACAGAGGUCUCGAGCGUUUGUUCGGAUUCAUUGGGCGUAAAGGGCGCGUAGGCGGCGGGGUAAGUCUGGUGUGAAAUCUCGGAGCUCAACUCCGAAAUUGCACUGGAUACUGCUCUGCUAGAGGGCUGGAGAGGAGAUCGGAAUUCACGGUGUAGCAGUGAAAUGCGUAGAUAUCGUGAGGAAGACCAGUGGCGAAGGCGGAUCUCUGGACAGCUCCUGACGCUGAGGCGCGAAGGCUAGGGGAGCAAACGGGG
rnacentral:rRNA from 1 species